UACGGAGGAUGCGAGCGUUAUCCGGAUUUAUUGGGUUUAAAGGGUGCGUAGGCUGUUAUAUAAGUCAGUGGUGAAAUAUUCGGGCUCAACCGGGAUACUGCCAUUGAUACUGUAUAGCUGGAAUAUGGUUGCUGUGGGUGGAAUGUGUGGUGUAGCGGUGAAAUGCAUAGAUAUCAUAUAGAAUAUCGAUUGUGAAGGUAACUCAUAAAGCUAUUAUUGAUGCUGAUGCAUGAAAGUGUGGGGAUCAAAU
rnacentral:rRNA from 1 species